UGAUGAUGUGAAUUUGGGUGUCAAAACAUGUAUCUUGGUCUCUGUAAAGGUGAAGAAGUCUGUAUGUUUGCAGUUGGGAUCACAGCCUUGUGCAGAUUGAUACUUCAGAAAUGAUGGAUUGAGGCACACACGUAAUGACCUGUUCCAGUCAGGAACUGAGACAGCCUCAAAGGGAGCUGCCGACGAGAUCUAUGGAAUGGGACAUGUCAAAUAGCUCAGUCCUAAGGCGUUUGCCUUGAUGACUGUGUGAAGCCAGUGCACUCACUUAGCAGCUACCUCAUUUCUGGGAUGAGAUGUUUCAUUUCACCAGACAGAUUUCUCCACAACAGAGCAAGCACAAAGGAAAUGUCAGCCAACUCUGUGCAUUUUCUGGAAUUCAGAAGGACCAUCUGCUACCCACACAUUCAAAAAGAAAGCCACACAAAAAAGCUCUUAGAAGAACAAACAACCUUCUGCAGAUGCAGAAGAAAGGCAGAGAAAUAUUAGAUGACUUACCCACAGUCUGUAGCAGGGGAUGAAAUGUACCUGUGAAGGCAGUUGAUGAAGAACUAGGUACCUAUAUUCAAUAACUAUUCUUUCCACCACUGUGGUAUUUAAUAUAUAUGAAAAAAAAUUAUUCCAGUGUAAAUAAGAAUUUGGCCCAAGUAGCAGGGACAAUUACAUGAAAUGCAAUUUGUAUCUCCUCAGAAGUUCAUCUAAAUAAGAAGUGUCCAAAACAAGUAGAUUUAGCCCUUGAGGAAGAGUCCUCCCUGCGUAUCCCAGACACCCUCCACAGUGGUCAUUGAGGGGGUCAUUGCGAUGCUCAACAAAUAAAAAAAAUCUCUUCCCCAUUCCCCUGAGCCUUGUACCAGGCCCUAAGCUUACUGCAACAUACAGGCACUUCCCUGUGCUCUGUGAACCUGAAAAAAAACCAAUAUAAAAGUCCUCCUCAUGUGAAACAAUUCUCUUUAUUCUUUUUCUGCCCUAAUCUUGUAGAAUUGCAGUUCCAGAAAUGACACAAAACACUCGAGUCCAUGGAUGGUGAGGUAAAUGCAUGGUUGAGAGAAGAUGAAAGAAAAAAAUUAUCUCUGAGCCUGAUAGGCUUUGGAAGGAACUUUACAGGGAAUCAGCACACCAAAGGAUGCUGUUACGUGGGGAACCACAGGCCCAGCUGGCUGCAAAAUUAGAAAUCUAGAAUUGAGAGGACAGAAUUCACUGCUUAACCCCAGGCAAAUUAACAGUGACUUUUUGUUUCACAGCUUAAUAUUUAAACAAUGUUGCUCCAAUUAGUCAAUGGAAGACAUUUUGUUUUCUGUGAGAUAUACUCUUUCCUCUCCAAGUCAAGGAGGUUUGCUUCCAGGAUUUUUUUAUUUUUUUAUAUUUUUUUUAACUAGAUUGCUCUUGGUUCUAGGGAUAGCGGGUUUCCUUCAGAAACACCACAAACACUUCCACUCCUCCACCCUUUAUUGACUCAAACUUUCAAAAUCUGCGUGCCCACAUCCCCUAGCUUGUUAUUUUGUGUGUUGCACUGUUGGAGAUUGCUCGUGUUUCCCCACAAAAGGCUCUCCAGUGCUGAGCUCUCGCAUUUUGCCUCCAGAGCCCGGUGGCUGUGCUGCUGCAGGACCCCCGGCCGCGCUCCGCAGCGCUGCCCGAGCGCAUAGCAGCGCCGUGGGCUCGCCUUCAGAGCCACAAACAGCUCUCUCAAAUACCCAGAGUGCCCAGAAGAUGGAAAUGUGCUGCCUUACGAUUUCAGCAAGCAGCAGAUGAACUCCGGACAUAGUGACAGCCCUCCCCUUGCUGAGCAAACCCGCUGAGCAUCCUGAGCAAUCCAGCCUUAGCCCCUGACCGCAUUCAACAGAGUUAUUUUGUUGUACUGUGAAGAAUGCAGAGAUCACUGUCCAUGAAAAGCAGAGUUCAAAAGGCAGCAUGGCACGGUGUCCAUGUGCUGGCUGACACAUUUAACCCACAAUUAUCGGGCAUGGGGUUUUCAGAUGAAACUCCUGAGAAAUUGCUUGGUUUUCAGGGUUUUCUCCCCGCUUUCUCCUCUUUGCCACUGAAGAAAUAAUUUUCAGUUGAAUAUUUUUAUCUUUAUCUGUAGUUUCCAGUGUCUUUUACAGUUCAACCCAUUCCUCUCACCUCUACCCCUGCAGGUGCUCGUGGAAAUUGAGACCUGCACCAGCCGUGUCUGUUGCCAGCAGGACUCAGCAGUGUCCCCAGCUCUGGUGAGGUACCAGUGUGUGCUGAGGCACAGUGAUGGCAUCCUGGGAUACUAAUGUAUAUGUCAUGUAGUGUUUGCAUGCAGCAAAGAUUCUGGAGAGUAGAAUAGGGAGAAUCUAUUAUUUUCUUUAGAAACAGCUUUUCUCCUCUGUUGUCCCUUGACAUCUGCCCCUCACAACAAGCUUGGGAUGCAAUGUGCCCUUCUCUCCCCUACAAAUGCUCUGCUCCUUUUUGACAAGGAGAAUACUGACAGUACUGAGAUCCCACUCAGUCUGCUUGCUUUUAGCAGCCCUACAAGAGCAGGGAGGAAAUUUUCCCUGCUCUCUGGAAUAAGGUCCUCCAUUACCAUGUCACAAAAGAGGCUGCUUGGUACCUAAGGAAAACUGCUGACUUUAAACCUGAGAUAAGGCUCUAUCAUUUACACUAAUGAGCUCACUGGUGGGGAAUUUGUAAAAUUUUAUGAUAAAAAAAGUAGCUGUAGUCAGUGUUUGAUGGAAUUUACUAUUUUACAUUUUUGCUGAAGAUAGAUAUAACUACUAAUCAUUUACACAUUCAAACCUAAAUAAGAGCGGAAGAACUGUCCCAGUAGAAAUUCAAAGAACUUGUAAGUAAUCUAUUAUUAUUUUUUUACCAUGGGUUGAGUCUAAAUUCUUCUGGGAAAGGCUAUAGAUACUUUUAACUGGUUGAAUUACAAACAAGUUACCCAGAAGAAGCCCUUAAUGAAACACUUAUAUUUCAGGAUUUUAAUUGUUUGUGACUUAUGGUUACAAGUUCACCUCCCAGAUCUGAUAGUCCUGUCGGAUUUGAUUUCUGAUAGAAGUGUGCCCUGGGAUGCACCCUGGGGGUUAGCCCUGUGAUGGUUUCUGAGCCAGGUACCACAUAUGCCCAGUAAGUGCAGUGAAUAAGGGGAGGUAUCUAAUAGCCUUUGUUAUUGCCAAUUGUCAGAGCAGUAAAUGACAAGUGUUCAGGAAAUCUCUCAGCUAGUGUAGGUUACAAAGACCUAAACCAUUCUGUUCUGAGCCAGAAUAAAUGAGUCUGGCUGGAGAGAGCAACUCUGCUAUAAAACUAGCAAAAAUGGAAGAAAACAAUGAGGUGAAAGUAAGCAAAGAAGAAUAAAGAUGUCUCCAGCUAAAGGACUGGAAAACUAACUCAGGUUGGCAUCUGUGUAUGCUAUGAAUGAAAUUACAGCAGGUUUUUCUCCCUCUCUGUCAUUUUUUUUCUUUUUUCCCCUCUGCUUACUCCAUUUGUGGUGUUCAGCCUCCACCUAAUCACAGGUUCAGCACCUGGAAAAGGUGGCCAGAGGUGCAAUACAGGGCAUGGGCUGUAUUGCCUGUGAGCACUCACUGCUGCAUGCAGACCAGAAAUAAAUCCUAAUGAAAUAUU